GGGAAAAUAAGAUUCAAUUUCUUUUUUUUUUUUUAAUGAAUGACCCAAGUCACCCAACUACUAGUUUAAAUCUGGCCGGGUUUACUGUUCGCCAGUUAAUCGGCCGGUUUAUUCCACUUCAAGGCAGGUUUACCAAAAAGAGGGUUUGUGAGUGAACCAUACCAGACCAAAGGUCCGAAUCCCAAUUAAACCGGUCCGGGUCUAACAACCAUGUUCCCAACUAUCAAGAAUGUGAUAGAAUUCAAUUCUCCA
rnacentral:misc_RNA from 1 species